UCCAGACUCCCUGCUCUCAGGGCAGCCCUGAGCCUGCAAGAGGACACACAGACCCAGAUUCUUUAAAAAAUAACGGCUUUGAGGCCGACCCGGUGGUGCAGCAGGUGGAAGGAGAAAACAAACACGGCUGUUAGAGGAGUUUGUGCUCUAACAGAACAGAUUCAUGCACCCGUGACAUGAAGACGUGGACCAGAGCUGGACCCCUCUUCCGCCAUGAGAAGAAGCCUGGACUAGCCUGCUGAGGAUGAGAGACCGACCACAUAGAGCAGAACAUCUGAAAAGCAACCGACCAGAGAUAUGCAGUUUCUUUAAAACCCACCCGCCUUCCUUUGAUCCCCUGGAAGAGGUGGACUUCCUGACCUUGGCCUUG
rnacentral:lncRNA from 1 species